rnacentral:lncRNA from 1 species
ACUUGGUUUCCAUGUCCAGCAUCAUCAAGACAAAAAGAGAAAGAAAGAAAAUACCUACUACCCACUGGGGUAGCUUUUACACCAAUAGCUUUGCUUUUCUUUUUUUUUUUUUUUUUUUUUUUUGAGAAAUGAUCAAAUAAAAGUUUGUCUGAAGAAUACUUGCUAUGCCAUUGAGCACGCAGUCAAACUUGCAGCUGAUUUUAAAGUCUCUGCUCAGUCAUCACUCUUCAGUGGGAAAGAGCCCAAGACCAGAGAGAAGCAGGCUGCUGGCAGCGGUAGACAGGGAGACAUGCACACAGGCAAAGGAUCAUUGGAAUCCCAAGAGCACAUGGAGAGCUGGGGAGAUGGUUUAUAGAUCAAGAUCACCGCUGCUCUUGCAGAGGAACCAGUUGCAAUACCUAGCAUGCACAUGGCAGCUCACAACUGUAGGUACCAGUAGGCAGUUCCAGGGGAUCUGAUAGCCUCUUCUGGCCCCCCACAAUCUACACAAUAUGCAUGCAGGCAAACACUCAUAGACACAAAAUAAAAAUAAAUAAAUAGUUUUUAAAUAAUAAAGGGGUGUUGGGGAGGGUUGGUUUGGUUUGGUUGUUUGGUUUUUUACAGGGGAGACCAGAGGAAAAUGGAAAGCAGUUAGCUGCGUUAUCCGAAGUGACUGUCCAGCUCAUCUUGCUUGCAGGACCUUAAUGAAGACCUUCAUUUACAAUGAUUCCAAGUGAUGGUCACCAGGAUCAAAAUUUAAAACUUUUAACACUUUAAAGUUGACCGUUGGCUUCAUGUUGUCUUAAAUAAAACACUCUAUUCUAUAAAGUUGAUAAAGUCAUAUAAUAAGGUCAGUUGAUUCUGUUUCUCUCACUAAUGCUUCCUAUAGGUAUUAAAAUCAUUCAAAUGUAAGAAAGGAAUAGUAAAGGUCUUUUGUUUUUUGCUUUGCUUUGCUUUGUUUUGUUUUUGGUACACAGCCUGCUGCUCUGCGUGGCUUGCUGGGGAUCAUAGUGGAAUGUCAAGUCUUAGACCAGCUAAACCAUCUCCCCAACCCUUUCUAUUUAGCUUUUCUAUGGACUAAAAAAGCCCUACAUUUUUAGAUAGUAAAAAUAACACGUUUAAAUUUUCUAGCAGUGACUUUAAUACACUCUCACGUUAAAACUCAUGAAGUAUUUCUAACUCUUGAAGUUCCUAACGUAGAACGUGAGCUAGUCACAGCUUGUGAUAAUCUCUACACAGCACUGCUUGUCGUGACUCUUCUGGUUGCUAAAAACACUAUCAUCAAUAACUUUCUUCCUUGUUGAUCUACGUAGUAAAUAACUUACUGAGCAUCUAAAACCUAACUGCAAUCAAAACUAAACAGGGCAUGUGAAAAUGGGGAGGUGCAUAGAUGCAAGGGGAUACCUAGGAAAUCUCUGUACUCUUGACUUAAUGAUAUCUGAACUGAAAAUUGUUUUUUAAAAUACUCUUUCCUGUGGAGAGCAAAAGGGAAAAAGUUGACAUCUCUAGCAGUUGGGGUACAUAAGAUUAAAAUGUAUUAUUCACAAGUGUAAAAUUGCCAAAGAAUAAAUAAAAGAUAUUCUAUUCU